rnacentral:rRNA from 1 species
AGCGAACGCUGGCGGCAGGCCUAAUACAUGCAAGUCGAGCGGCCGUAGCAAUACAGCAGCGGCAGACGGGAGAGUAACACGUGGGAACGUACCUUUCGGUUCGGAACAACCCAGGGAAACUUGGGCUAAUACCGGAUACGUCCGUAAGGAGAAAGAUUUAUCGCCGAAAGAUCGGCCCGCGUCUGAUUAGCUUGUUGGUGAGGUAACGGCUCACCAAGGCGACGAUCAGUAGCUGGUCUGAGAGGAUGAUCAGCCUCACUGGGACUGAGACACGGCCCAGACUCCUGCGGGAGGCAGCAGUAGGGAAUAUUGGACAAUGGGCGCAAGCCUGAUCCAGCCAUGCCGCGUGAGUGAUGAAGGCCCUAGGGUUGUAAAGCUCUUUCGGCGGGGAAGAUAAUGACGGUACCCGCAGAAGAAGCCCCGGCUAACUUCGUGCCAGCCGCCGCCGUAA